rnacentral:hammerhead_ribozyme from 1 species
AGCCGAAACCGCCUACGGGCGGUCUGGACGGGGUGCCCGCCGUCCACUGAUGAGGCAGGGCGAA